rnacentral:tRNA from 2 species
GGACCAUUAGCUCAGUUGGUUAGAGCACCCCGCUCAUAACGGGGAGGCCCGGGGUUCAAGUCCCUGAUGGUCCA